CUUUAGCGUAGACCAUCGCACAUUAGCGUGACCAUCGUACUUUAGCGUCCCCAUCGCACUUUCGAGUCUUACACAUAUAAGACAAGCACAAAACAUAAAACACAUAAAACAUAAAGCACAUCAUGCAAAAUAAAUAAUGUUAUCAAGCACAGCAAUUUAAUAAUAAGCACAAUUAAAGCAUAUAAGCAAACAUAAAAUGCAGAUAAACUAACAUUCAUGCAAAAGCUAUUAUAAAGCACUAAAAGUAAUUCAGCUUAAGAACACAAAUAAAAAAUUAUGCCUAAUAAUUUAAAAGCCAGAGUAUACAAGAUAAAUAAAUAAUCUGAUCUACAACUCAUUGAGAUCUGCAAGAGGAACACUGACACGAACUGCCCUCCAAAUUACCAACCAAAAUUUGAAAUUACGAAAACGAAAAACACAGAUAUUUCUACCAGUGUCUAAUUAGGAUCAGUGUCCUAUUAUACAUUGACAGUCGACCUUCCCAGUGACUAUUGAAUGUAAUGAUUCAUAUUUCAAUUAUUUAAUACAGUGGAAACAUCGGUGUUCAUGCACCCUGUUGGAAGAACCCCCCCCCCCCC
rnacentral:lncRNA from 1 species